UUUUUGAACGCAAGUUGCGCCCGAAGCCGUCAUGCCGAGGGCACGUCUGCCUGGGCGUCACGCGCAUCGUCGCCCUCCACCCCCGCCCGCGGGGUGGAGGGCCGGACAUUGGCCUCCCGUGCGCAUCCGUGCGCGGCCGGCCCAAACGAGAUUCGGCAUCGGCGCGUGCCACGACGACUGGUGGUUGAAGACCUCAACUCGCGCGUCGUCGUGCGGGGGCGCGCCGUUCGUCCGGAACGCUCCGACCCCCUCGGGUGCUCCGCACCUCCGAAGCGACCCCAGGUCAGGCGGGAUCACCCGCUGAGUUUAAGCAUAUCAAUAAGCGGAGGAAAAGAAACUUACGAGGAUUCCCCUAGUAACGGCGAGCGAACCGGGAAGAGCCCAACU
rnacentral:rRNA from 1 species